CUUAUAAAAUAUAUAUAAAAAAAGCUCAUUGCUUACCUCCUCCUCUUCUUCUUCGUCUUCUUUCUUCUUCCUUUUUUCUUCUUCUUUGUGGAAGAUCCACGUGUCACCCUUCAUUCUCAAUAUUUCCUUCCUUCCGCUAACCAUCUCUCUCCCUCUCUCACGUACGUCGAGAACAACGCAAUUUUUCGUCAACAACACGUCCGAAAUCCUCAUCUUUCUCUCCUUCAGCCGACGCCACUACCCAACACCUCUUGCACCACAAAACUCACCGGAAAUCAAGGCGAAGGGAGAUUUCAUGGCUAUGGUCUGAAACUUUGAGAAAAAAAGAAUGAAAUAUGAAGUAUGAGAUUUUAAAAUUUGAUGAUGUGUAGGCUCUUUUUGUUUGUCUAUGCAUUUACCAAGUGAAUAUGAGUACUUUUAAUUUUUCUAUUGAUCUUUUGUUUAUGGUUGCUAUUGAGAUGUAUUGUAAUUGCAUGAUAGUUAUAGCAUAAAUAAACUAUAUAUAUAAACUUGAACACAAGUACUUGUUAUCUAACUCAUUACUAAAUUGUUGUAAUUUGGUUACUCUUGAUUUACUAGUGAUUGAAGAUUAAAAAAAGUUAUGAACGUUUUCAGUAUGAGCAAAAAAUAAACUCUUUAUGUUGCUAAUGAACAUAUCUUGAUUUAUAGAAAGCUUUGAUAAACCAUCAAUUUAAGUAAGCUUUGAUAAACCAUCAAUUUAAGUAAGGUUAAGAAACACAAAGAACAAAAGUAAAACCCAACACUUUUCAUAAUGUAAUAUAAUAUAAUGAUAAUAAGAAGUACAAAGAAUUAAGUUUGAGAGUUAUACUCCUUUUACACUCAUUUAUACUAUCCACAAUAACAUCAUAUAUGUGUGUAGAAUAUCUUGAUUCCUAUGCUUUCACUAGAUAAUAGAAUGCUCCCUUCCAAAUUUCUAUGGAAGUUGUUGCUUUUUCUAGCUUUGUUUUGAGAAACUCCCUCUAAUUACUAGAAAAAUCAUGGUGAUUUCUGAGUUUUGACUAAACAUAUUUGGAAACAAGAAAAUAGAAUAAGUAUUAAGCAAAAAUCUCUUUCAUUCAACUUUUGGAGGGAUGUUGUUUAGGGCUAGAUUGGUAUUGAUUUCAUUCUAAUUUUCUGCCUAUAAUUUACUUGAUAUUUUUUCUUAAGCUCAUGAGAUGUAGAGAUUUUUAUUUAUACGCUUUGAUUGUUUUUUUGUUUUUUGUUGAUUGGGAGGUUUUCUUUCUCUACUGAUAUAAUGUAAUGUAAAUUUAAUUUUAAUUGUAGAGAACUUAUGUUUAGGGUAUCAAAGAAGAAGUUGUUUUGUCCAUUACUCAUGCUCUUUCCUUGAUAGCAUCUGAAGAAGGUUGGUAGAAAUUACUUUAGCCCAUUGUAUGUCGUAGUUUAUACUGUGGAUUUGUGAAGUGGUGCAUGGGAAAAGUUUGGAAGAAUCCAUUUGAAGCAUUGAAGCCAAUUUGGAGCAAUUGAUUGAUAUAACAUCUUUUGUAUGGUUGGUAGCAAACUCUUAUUCAAUGUAUUGAUUUUAGGUUUCUUGCUUCCAAUGUCAAUGUAUAUUGUUUUUUUAUGGAAACUACAUUUGAACUAAACAAAUGGUUAUUAGUCAACGGGUGUACGAAUACUACAAAGUGUAUCAUUAUGCAUAUAUAUAUAUUAAAAUGUUGACUUAUUGUUUUCA